AGUAAGUUGGCAGAUUAAUGCAAUUGAUUUAGGAUCAAUGAAUGUAAAAAAUUUACACUUACUA
rnacentral:tRNA from 1 species